rnacentral:lncRNA from 10 species
GACCUCUGGUCUGGUUCCCAGUUGCUGUUCCCCUACUGCCUUUCUUGGAAGCACGGUCCUGCCUCCCUGCCUGUCCCAGGGCAAAGAUGACCUCUGAGCCCUGCUCAGCCACCAAUGGCGACAGGUAGCUGUGGCCUGGGCCAGCCCCUUGUCGGUCUUUCCUCCACGUCCUUCUUCUCCCACGUUCCUCUGCCCUGCCGGCUGCUUGUUCUCUCCUUGUCCCUCCUCCCACAGCCUCCGGAAACCCCAUCUGGGGAGCUGUUCUGCAAAGCUGCACCUUAUCCACCUCCUGGAGCAAAACACGAGCUACCUGCCGGGGACUGUUCAGAGUGCUUCCUGCGAAGUCUCCCACUCAGAAGUCACAGCGAUCCUAGGAGGUAGAUCUAUUCCUGUGCCCGUUUUACAGACAAGGAAACUGAGGCAGAGUUUUGGUAACCGGACUUGCCUUUGGAACCCAGCCGCCAUGCUGUGAGGAAGCCCAGGAUAACCCACGUGGCUGUGUGCUCCUGGGUGGCAGGCCACAGGUCCUGUUUCUCCCAGGCAUCUUCAUCUCCUGUCCUGGCCAACCUGGAAGUGCUUAGAGAGGGCUUGUUUGACCGACUGGAGGGUGUGGAGGAUGGACACUAAUCCUGGGAGCCAGGGAUCCAUCCCUCGAGCUUGGAUCCUACCUCCCUGCCCACAUUCCCUGAGCUCUCAUUAUAGGGAAUCACUGUUGGCCCGAUGUGGACUGUGAAUGACCUGGGCCUCCAGACCUCAGUUUCGCCACCUGUGAAAUAAAAAUGUUGGAUGAGGAUGAAGGGGCUCCUUCAGCUUUUUUGCUCAGGGAUUCCCCAAGAGGGUGAGGCAGCUUCCUCGCC